rnacentral:tRNA from 1 species
GGUGAUGAAGCUCAAUGGUAGAGUGCUAGCAUGCAUGAGGCCCUGGGUUUGAUUCCCAGCACCACAA